GAUGAACGCUGGCGGCGUGCCUAAUACAUGCAAGUCGAGCGAACAGACGAGGAGCUUGCUCCUCUGACGUUAGCGGCGGACGGGUGAGUAACACGUGGAUAACCUACCUAUAAGACUGGGAUAACUUCGGGAAACCGGAGCUAAUACCGGAUAAUAUAUUGAACCGCAUGGUUCAAUAGUGAAAGACGGGUUUGCUGUCACUUAUAGAUGGAUCCGCGCCACAUUAGCUAGUUGGUAAGGUAACGGCUUACCAAGGCAACGAUGCGUAGCCGACCUGAGAGGGUGAUCGGCCACACUGGAACUGAGACACGGUCCGGACUCCUACGGGAGGCAGCAGUAGGGAAUCUUCCGCAAUGGGCGAAAGCUUGACGGAGCAACGCUGCGUGGGUGAUGAAGGUCUUCGGAUCGUAAAACUCUGUUAUUAGGGAAGAACAAAUGUGUAAGUAACUAUGCACGUCUUGACGGUACCUAAUCAGAAAGCCACGGCUAACUACGUG
rnacentral:rRNA from 1 species